rnacentral:rRNA from 1 species
GAUCCAUGGCUCAGGAUGAACGCUAGCUACAGGCUUAACACAUGCAAGUCGAGGGAAACGAUAGAGAAAGCUUGCUUUUUCUAGGCGUCGACCGGCGCACGGUGAGUAACGCGUAUCCAACCUGCCACCACUUGGGGAUAACCUUGCGAAAGUAAGACUAAUACCCAAUGACGUCUCUAGAAGACAUCUGAAAGAGAUUAAAGAUUUAUCGGUGAUGGAUGGGGAUGCGUCUGAUUAGCUUGUUGGCGGGUAACGGCCCACCAAGGCGACGAUCAGUAGGGGUUCUGAGAGGAAGGUCCCCCACAUUGGAACUGAGACACGGUCCAAACUCCUACGGGAGGCAGCAGUGAGGAAUAUUGGUCAAUGGACGAGAGUCUGAACCAGCCAAGUAGCGUGCAGGAUGACGGCCCUAUGGGUUGUAAACUGCUUUUUAUAAGGGAAUAAAGUGAGUCUCGUGAGACUUUUUGCAUGUACCUUAUGAAUAAGGACCGGCUAAUUCCGUG